rnacentral:rRNA from 1 species
AUGAAGCCCUUCUUUCUACAGAUCCAGGGAUGUGAUUGUCUUGUUCAUCCAUAUCGCGAGGUAAUUGUUGUGUACUCAACAGCAGAUGAAUCUCUAAAUUCACUAAGCUCCCAGGGUAUCGAUUUGGCCGGCUGUUACCGAUUUAGAUUGGGUCAAGCACGGGGAGGGAGGCCUUUGCUGGUGUCGUGGAGGCUGGGAGGCAUUGGCAGAAUACGUGCUGCGAGGUCUUCUUUCCUCGCCUGUGUCCAGAGGGGAGGGCACAGUCUGGGGAGGGUUUGGGCCACCGUUGGGAGGAAGGAUGUCAUUGCAGUUGCUGCUCGAGGGGCACCCCUGUUGGUUACCAUUGUUAGGAGUGACUAUUUGUUCAAUGUGUUUAAUGGCAAAUAUGGAGUUGUAUGGCAGGUGGCAUGUCUGAGUCCGUGGAUUGCACUGUUUACUAUGGCAACAAGUUGA